rnacentral:rRNA from 1 species
UACGAGUUUGAUCCUGGCUCAGGACGAACGCUGGCGGCGUGGAUUAGGCAUGCAAGUCGAACGGUAUCACACCUUCGGGUGUGAGAGAGUGGCGAACGGGUGAGUAACACGUAGGUAAUCUACCCUCAAGACGGGGACAACCCAGGGAAACUUGGGCUAAUACCGGAUGUGAGCAAUCGCAAGAUUGUUUGAAAGGUGGCUUCGGCUGCCGCUUGAGGAUGAGCCUGCGUCCUAUUAGCUAGUUGGUGAGGUAACGGCUCACCUAGGCGAUGAUAGGUAGGCGGCCUUAACGGGUGGUCGCCCACACUGGGAUUGAGAUACGGCCCAGACUCCUACGGGAGGCAGCAGUCGAGAAUAGUCUACAAUGGUCGAAAGACUGAUAGUGCGACGCCGCGUGAACGAAGAAGCCCUUCGGGGUGUAAAGUUCUUUUAUAUGUGAGCAGUGUUUGUUAUAUAAAUAGUAUAAUGAAAGAGAUAUUAGCAUAUGAAUAAGCAACGGCUAACUCCGUGCCAGCAGCCGCGGUAACACGGGGGUUGCGAGCGUUGUCCGGAAUUACUAGGCGUAAAGGGCAGGCAGGCGGAUCUAUAAGUUUCUUGUUUAAGGCGUCAGCUUAACUGGCGUACGGCAGGAGAUACUGUAGAUCUGGAAUGCGGUUGAGGAAGACAGAAUUCCUGGUGUAGCGGUGGAAUGCGCAGAGAUCAGGAGGAAUACCAAAGGCGAAGGCAGUCUUCCAAGCCGUUAUUGACGCUCAACUGCGAAGGUGUGGGUAUCAAACAGGAUUAGAUACCCUGGUAGUCCACACAGUAAACGAUAAUCACUGGGUGUCGGGUUCGAAGAGGAUUCGGUGCCGUAGCUAACGCGAUAAGUGAUUCGCCUGGGGAGUACGAUCGCAAGGUUGA